UGGAUUGAAGCCAGUUGUAUUAGGUGUUUAGCUGUUAACUAAAUUUUUGCAGGUUGAAGUCCUGUCGGUCCAG
rnacentral:tRNA from 2 species